UGCUAUUGGAAAGAGUGACUUUGUGGUCCUG
rnacentral:piRNA from 1 species